AUGGGAACGCGAAGAACCUUACCUACUCUUGACAUCCAGAGAACUUUCCAAAGAUGGAUUGGUGCCUUCGGGAACUCUGAGACAGGUGCUGCAUGGCUGUCGUCAGCUCGUGUUGUGAAAUGUUGGGUUAAGUCCCGCAACGAGCGCAACCCUUAUCCUUUGUUGCCAGCGGUUAGGCCGGGAACUCAAAGGAGACUGCCAGUGAUAAACUGGAGGAAGGUGGGGAUGGACGUCAAGUCAUCAUGGCCCUUACGAGUAGGGCUACACACGUGCUACAAUGGCGCAUACAAAGAGAAGCGACCUCGCGAGAGCAAGCGGACCUCAUAAAGUGCGUCGUAGUCCGGAUUGGAGUCUGCAACUCGACUCCAUGAAGUCGGAAUCGCUAGUAAUCGUAGAUCAGAAUGCUACGGUGAAUAC
rnacentral:rRNA from 1 species